UACACAUGCAGUCGAGCGGUAACAGGAGAAGCUUGCUUCUCGCUGACGAGCGGCGGACGGGUGAGUAAUACUUAGGAAUCUACCUAGUAGUGGGGGAUAGCACGGGGAAACUCGUAUUAAUACCGCAUACGACCUACGGGAGAAAGGGGGCAGUUUACUGCUCUCGCUAUUAGAUGAGCCUAAGUCGGAUUAGCUAGAUGGUGGGGUAAAGGCCUACCAUGGCGACGAUCUGUAGCUGGUCUGAGAGGAUGAUCAGCCACACCGGGACUGAGACACGGCCCGGACUCCUACGGGAGGCAGCAGUGGGGAAUAUUGGACAAUGGGGGAAACCCUGAUCCAGCCAUGCCGCGUGUGUGAAGAAGGCCUUUUGG
rnacentral:rRNA from 1 species